rnacentral:rRNA from 1 species
UAAGGAAUAUUGGUCAAUGGAGGCAACUCUGAACCAGCCAUGCCGCGUGCAGGAAGAAGGCCCUAUGGGUCGUAAACUGCUUUUGAACAAGAGAAAACCCCGGUACGUGUACUGGGUUGAUAGUAUUGUUAGAAUAAGCAUCGGCUAACUUCGUGCCAGCAGCCGCGGUAAGACGAAGGAUGCAAGCGUUAUCCGGAUUCAUUGGGUUUAAAGGGUGCGUAGGCGGACUGAUAAGUCAGUGGUGAAAUCUCUCGGCUUAACCGAGAAACUGCCAUUGAUACUGUUAGUCUAGAGUACAGAUGAUGUGGGCGGAAUAUGACAUGUAGUGGUGAAAUACUUAGAUAUGUCAUAGAACACCGAUUGCGAAGGCAGCUCACAAAACUGUAACUGACGCUGAGGCACGAAAGUGCGGGGAUCAAACAGGAUUAGAUACCCCGGUAGUCCCUGAGCGGGCUGGCAAGGCGCAU